rnacentral:sRNA from 1 species
CGUUGCCGCAGGCAACGGCCCGAAGGGUGAGGAGCAAAGCGACGAAUAAUCCUUCCCCCACCACCA